rnacentral:misc_RNA from 1 species
AAGUCGUAACAAGGUUUCCGUAGGUGAACCUGCGGAAGGAUCAUUACAAAUAAAGCUGGUAGGAAGUGGGGUCUUGAUCUGUAAGUGGUAGAGCACAGGUACCGGCUGCCUGCCCGAAAUGCUCCUUAACAUUGUCCCCGACCCAGCCAUGAACGGCCAGGCAAUUAAUCAACCCAUUGCAUUAUUCUACACUUGUUGCUUUGGGGUGCUCAAGUGCCCCAGAGGACCCAACUCUCUUGCAUUUAGUGACGUCUGAGUACUAUAUAAUAUUUAAAA